rnacentral:ncRNA from 1 species
AUUAAAGUUUUAUUUUGGCUUAUAGGUUUAUUAUUAGUUUAAUUUAUAUGUAAAUUUUUGUGGGAAAAGUUAAUUAUUUUAAUAGUAGUUAAUUUUUUAUUAGUCGCAGUAAUUAAUAUUAUUAAUUAAGGAAACUUAGAAAUAGUGAUAUUAAAGAGUAUUGGCUAAAUUUGUGCCAGCAGCCGCGGUUAUACGAAUAAUGCGAAUAAAUCUUGUUCAGUUAAAGUUAAAUUGAUUUGAUAAUAAAUUAAAAAUAAAUUUGUUAGGUGAAAUUUUAAAUUUAUACAUAUUUUAUUGAAAAAAAUUGAAGCUUGAAAAUUUUAUUAAUAAACUAGGAUUAGAUACCCUAUUAUUUAAAAUGUAUAAAAAAAAGACUGAGGUAGUAGUAGUUAUGUUCUUGAAACUUAAAAAAUUUGGCGGUAUUUUAGUCUAUUCAGAGGAACCUGUUUUGUAAUCGAUAAUCCACGAUGGACCUUACUUAAGUUUGUAUUCAGUUUAUAUACCGUCGUUAUUAGAAUAUUUUAUAAGAAAGUUAAUUUUCAAGAUUUUUAAAAAGAAAAUAUAUCAGAUCAAGGUGUAGCUUAUAUUUAAGUAUAAAUGGGUUACAAUAAAAUUAUUUAAACGAAUAUAAAUGUGAAAUAUUUAUUGAAGGUGGAUUUGAUAGUAAAAUUAUAAAGAUUAAUAAUUUGAUUUUAGCUCUAAAAUAUGCACACAUCGCCCGUCACUCUUACUAUUAAGGUAAGAUAAGUCGUAACAUAGUAGAUGUACUGGAAAGUGUACCUAGAAUGCA